CAGUCAGGCUCCUGGCAAAAGUCCAGCACUUAGCUUGAUUUAGCCAAAGCCUG
ensembl:miRNA